rnacentral:rRNA from 1 species
GACGAACGCUGGCGGCGUGCCUAAUACAUGCAAGUAGAACGCUGAAGGAGGAGCUUGCUUCUCUGGAUGAGUUGCGAACGGGUGAGUAACGCGUAGGUAACCUGCCUGGUAGUGGGGGAUAACUAUUGGAAACGAUAGCUAAUACCGCAUAAUAGCAGUUGUUGCAUGAUAACUGUUUGAAAGGUGCAAUUGCACCGCUACCAGAUGGACCUGCGUUGUAUUAGCUAGUUGGUGGGGUAACGGCUCACCAAGGCGACGAUACAUAGCCGACCUGAGAGGGUGAUCGGCCACACUGGGACUGAGACACGGCCCAGACUCCUACGGGAGGCAGCAGUAGGGAAUCUUCGGCAAUGGACGGAAGUCUGACCGAGCAACGCCGCGUGAGUGAAGAAGGUUUUCGAAUCGUAAAGCUCUGUUGUAAGAGAAGAACGAGUGUGAGAGUGGAAAGUUCACACUGUGACGGUAUCUUACCAGAAAGGGACGGCUAACUACGUG